rnacentral:lncRNA from 1 species
UUUGGAAGAGGGACUAAAGCCUCUGUACACUAAUUAAGAUGUGCUCCAAAUAUUGGCUAUCUAUAAGAGAGAGCAAUAUAGUAGUUUAUAUAGAACAUUCAAUCAAUAAGAUUGAUUCGAAUAUAGUAGAGCCACCCCCCACACUUCCAUCUUUCUAAGAUAUUAAUGAGAUAGCUAGGGAGCAGCAAAAGUAGGGGCAGUGGCAGGAGCAAGGGCAGGAUUAGGGGC